UACGUAGGGGGCAAGCGUUAUCCGGAUUUACUGGGUGUAAAGGGAGCGUAGGUGGAUUGUUAAGUCAGUUGUGAAAGUUUGCGGCUCAACCGUAAAAUUGCAGUUGAAACUGGCAGUCUUGAGUACAGUAGAGGUGGGCGGAAUUCGUGGUGUAGCGGUGAAAUGCUUAGAUAUCACGAAGAACUCCGAUUGCGAAGGCAGCCUGCCGCAGCGUUACUGACGCUGAAGCUCGAAAGCGCGGGUAUCGAACAGG
rnacentral:rRNA from 1 species